rnacentral:rRNA from 1 species
CAGCCGCCGCGGGAAUACGAAGGGUGCAAGCGUUAAUCGGAAUUACUGGGCGUAAAGCGUGCGUAGGCGGUGAGUUAAGUCUGCUGUGAAAUCCCCGGGCUCAACCUGGGAAUGGCAGUGGAUACUGGCUCGCUAGAGUGUGUCAGAGGAUGGUGGAAUUCCCGGUGUAGCGGUGAAAUGCGUAGAGAUCGGGAGGAACAUCAGUGGCGAAGGCGGCCAUCUGGGACAACACUGACGCUGAGGCACGAAAGCGUGGGGAGCAAACAGGAUUAGAUACCCGAGUAGUCCCUGUCUCUUAUAA